AGUGAACGCUGGCGGUAGGCCUAACACAUGCAAGUCGAACGGCAGCACAGUAAGAGCUUGCUCUUACGGGUGGCGAGUGGCGGACGGGUGAGGAAUACAUCGGAAUCUACUUUUUCGUGGGGGAUAACGUAGGGAAACUUACGCUAAUACCGCAUACGACCUACGGGUGAAAGCAGGGGAUCUUCGGACCUUACGCGAUUGAAUGAGCCGAUGUCGGAUUAGCUAGUUGGCGGGGUAAAGGCCAACCAAGGCGACGAUCCGUAGCUGGUCUGAGAGGAUGAUCAGCCACACUGGAACUGAGACACGGUCCAGACUCCUACGGGAGGCAGCAGUGGGGAAUAUUGGACAAUGGGCGCAAGCCUGAUCCAGCCAUACCGCGUGGGUGAAGAAGGCCUUCGGGUUGUAAAGCCCUUUUGUUGGGAAAGAAAAGCAGCAGGUUAAUACCCCGCUGUUCUGACGGUACCCAAAGAAUAAGCACCGGCUAACUUCGUG
rnacentral:rRNA from 1 species